CAACUACUCCCUCUGUCCCAAAUUUUUUGUCUUAGAUUUGUCUAGAUACAGAUGUAUCUAAUACUAAAAUGUGACUUGAUACAUCCGUAUCUAGACAAAUCUAAGACAAGAAUUUUGGGACAGAGGGAGUAUUUU
rnacentral:pre_miRNA from 1 species